GAUGAACGCUGGCGGCGUGCCUAAUACAUGCAAGUCGAGCGAACAGACGAGGAGCUUGCUCCUCUGACGUUAGCGGCGGACGGGUGAGUAACACGUGGAUAACCUACCUAUAAGACUGGGAUAACUUCGGGAAACCGGAGCUAAUACCGGAUAAUAUAUUGAACCGCAUGAUUCAAUAGUGAAAGACGGUUUUGCUGUCACUUAUAGAUGUAUCCGCGCCGCAUUAGCUAGUUGGUAAGGUAACGGCUUACCAAGGCAACGAUGCGUAGCCGGCCUGAGAGGGUGAUCGGCCACACUGGAACUGAGACACGGUCCAGAGUCCGACGGGAGGCAGCAGUAGGGAAUCUUCCGCGAUGGGCGAAAGCUUGGCGGAGCAACGCCGCGUGAGUGAUGAAGGUCUUCGGAUCGUAAAACUCUGUUAUUAGGGAAGAACAAAUGUGUAAGUAACUAUGCACGUCUUGACGGUACCUAAUCAGAAAGCCACGGCUAACUACGUG
rnacentral:rRNA from 1 species